rnacentral:rRNA from 1 species
UACGUAGGGGGCAAGCGUUGUCCGGAAUCAUUGGGCGUAAAGCGCGUGUAGGCGGCUCGAUAAGUCUGCUGUGAAAGUUCAGGGCUCAACCCUGAAAUGCCGGUGGAAACUGUCGAGCUAGAGUACGGAAGAGGUGAGUGGAAUUCCUGGUGUAGCGGUGAAAUGCGCAGAUAUCAGGAGGAACACCAAUGGCGAAGGCAGCUCGCUGGGACGGUACUGACGCUGAGACGCGAAAGCGUGGGGAGCAAACAGG